rfam:Tstilago hordei, Th4857-4, WGS project CAGI01000000 data, contig: THOR_scaffold_5.00039
GGCCGGUUGGCCCAAUGGUAAGGCGUCUGACUACGAUUGUUAAAACCUCGGUUUGGCCUGUAAUCAGGAGAUUCUGGGUUCGAGCCCCAGGCUGGUCA